UUCAAACAGUGGUUCCCAUACAAUCACCUAAGUUAAGCAAUAUCAAGCUUGAUCAGUAACUAGAUGAGUGACCGCUUGGGAAUACCAGGUGUUGUAAG